ensembl:lncRNA
CGGUUCUGAAAAUGCAGAGGAGGGCCGGGAAGGGGCAGGACGAUGGGCAAGGAACUACAGGUCACGGCUCCCGAUGCGCGUCAUACUUCCGGGUGCAUUCAGAGGCGCAGCGACUCCCGGCCUGCUCCCUCGGACCUUGCCUCCCUUUUCCGAUACUCCAGACGCCCUAGUCUAGACAGUUUCAGUCUACUAUCCCUGAAACACGUGGAGCUGAGACUUGGUCAAGGUGCAUUCCUGCCCGCUUCCUCCGCCCUUGGUUCCCUCCUCCUAGAACAUUUGCAACUGGAUCUCCACGAGUGCUGGUCAUCAUCGGAAACCGUCUCAUCUGCAUAUGGACUAUUUGAGAGCCCUCAGAAGCAAGAGCUCACCUGUCUCGUCCAUACCAAAUCCUCAGCAUCUGCACUCCCGAGAAAGUGAAAGUGAAGUCGCUCAGUCGUGUCGGACUCUUUGCGACCCCAUGGACACCAGGCUCCUCCUUCCAUGGGAUUUUCUAGGCAAGAGUACUGGAGUGGGUUGCCUUUUCCUUCUCCAGGGAACUUCCCGACCCUGGGAUCGAACCCAGGUCUCAGGCAUAGACAGACACUUUACCGUCUGAGCCACCAGGGAAGUCUCUGCACUCCCGAGAAAUACUUGUUAAAUGAAUGAAUGAUUGAAGUCCUUCAUGGUGUCUUCCUAACUGAAAGGAGAGCUUCAUCCUGGGUGAUCCAUGGCAGUUUAUUUACUGCUGUAUGCAGGGCUUUUCCUGGUUGUGGUGGGUCCAUGCAUUGGUGGUCUCCACUGACUUUCAGCCCUCUUCCUCGCAUGUAAAUUCCCGGAUUGGACACAUAACUAACAUGCUUUGGCCAAUGGGAUGGUAGCAGGUGUGCUGGGCACAGAGCCUUGAUAAAUAUUUGAAUGCUGGGGUCUGUCCUCUUGGGACAUUGUCUCUUGAAGUCCUGAGUUACUCUGUAAAGAGGUCUAGCUGCUGUGCUGACAUGGGGCACAAGUGUUCCAGUCAUCCCCUCGUUCCAGCCACCUCAGCUGAAGCCCCAGAAGUCUGAGUGAAGAUGCUCUUUGGAACCUUCCACCCCAGGAGACACCUGGCAGGGUGGAAGAACCACCCAGCUGAGCCCAGCCCAGAGCGCAGAGCCAGGGGAAGUAUGCAGUCACGUUUUAAACAAGCUUGACAUGCUGACUUCAGCAAGAAGUAGCUGAAAUACCAGUUUACUUUCCAUUUUGAAUGGCUGUGCGAGUCCACAACUCAGAAACCGAGGUGGCAAAGGCUGCAACACGGUUAGCUUUGCUUUUGCACUUUGCCCCGCAUCCCACACAAGUCAGUCAAUAGUUCGUUGAGCAGUUUAUUGAACUCUCCAUGCUAAUCUCUGUGCUACUUAAGUGUGUGAUGCAGAGGGUGCUGGUCGUUUUCUCCACAAUCUUUAAGGUCAUGCCAGAGGUGUCAGUGGGUCCAUGCCACGCCUUGUUCCCGACCACACAGCUUGUGCAAGGCUGUGGCAGCUGGGCCUGCAGGGGUGAGCCUCCUGCAGACACUGCAGCCAGGUUACCGCCCUCUCCCUAGGCCUUCCCUCCUGGACCGUUCCCCCCACCACCCCCGCCCAUACCAGCUACUCUCCUAGAGAGAGAGAGAGAGAGAGAACAGGGUAGGUCUGCCUAACCUUGACCUUCAUUCAUGUCUUAAAAGAGGAGACAAACCCUACUCUAUACUGCCUUAAAACCUACAUUUAAGUAGAAAGCCUUAUUUUUUCCCCUUAUUUUUCCCUCUUGGACGGAAUUAAGUAAAUCCAAAGUGACAACACAGUUUAUCUCAGAUUAGAAGUUAUGAUUGGUGGUUUGAAAGCAAAAAAAAAGUCAAUUUUAUAGUUAAAUACAUUAAAAUUUUUUAAGGAAGGAAGGAACGGGAAAUCUUUUUAUUAAAAAAGUCAAAUGCACAGACUAAAAAGACCUAAUAAUUACUAAGUUGCCAUAUUCACUUUACAUGUGAAUGUGUGUGUGUGUGUGUGUGUGUGUGUGUGUGUGUGUGUGUGUGUGUUUUCCUCAAAGAUUUGGAGGCAGUUUCAGUUCUCCUACCCAACCACCACAGCACUGUCACACCUAAAAAACCAACCAUCCUGAGACACAGUCCUUGCACAUGAGGCUUGGGUGAAAGACAGCCCACCUUUCUCUGCACUUCUUAUCUGGGAGCACAGGCCAGCUGGCCAGGGUGCAAGGCCAAGUGUGGGAGGAGGUAAUGGGAGGGCUUUCUGAUCCCCGAGGCCAGGCAAAGGCGUGGAGCUGCUGGGCUUCAGCACUGGGUUUAAAACCAUUUAUGGGAGCACCCUGGUUCCCGGAUUCUGAGCACCAGUGUUGAACUGCCUGUGCGUGAGCAAGUCCCAGGCCGACGUGCCCCUCAGCAGUGUGGAAAUGGCAUGAAAAACCGAAUCGAGCAGGUCUUUGCGAGACAAAAGAAACUGUAGCCACGAGUCAAGCAUGAGGGGGAAACAAAAGAUUCAUUGCUAACAAUUUCUGCUGUGAAGGAACCCAGGCCUUCCCAGGGGGCAAUGUGGGUGGGGACAGCUGGACUGAGACAGGAAGUGGGGCUCAGGCAGGGAAUUCCUGGCUGGAUCCAGUGUGCUGCAGGAGCGCCUGGCAGUCCCCACCUCUGCUGACUGUGGGCGCUUCCUGGCCAGGAAGGCUUCUGCAUAAUCUCUCUGCCAUCCCUGCAGUCCUGCCUCCUUUCCUCCACCCCCUAGCUCCGUCUCCCCCGACAGACUGUUUUUAUCUGCCCUUCAUCGCAGUCAUCCCUAUGAAGCAGAGGCGGUAUCUGCUUGCAGGGCAGCUCUCGG